rnacentral:rRNA from 1 species
GAUGAACGCUGGCGGCGUGCCUAAUACAUGCAAGUCGAGCGAACAGAUGAGGAGCUUGCUCCACUGACGUUAGCGGCGGACGGGUGAGUAACACGUGGAUAACCUACCUAUAAGACUGGGAUAACUUCGGGAAACCGGAGCUAAUACCGGAUAAUAUAUUGAACCGCAUGGUUCAAUAGUGAAAGACGGUUUUGCUGUCACUUAUAGAUGUAUCCGCGCCGCGUUAGUUAGUUGGUAAGGUAACGGCUUACCAAGGCAACGAUGCGUAGCCGACCUGAGAGGGUGAUCGGCGACACUGGAACUGAGACACGGUCAAGACUCCUACGGGAGGCAGCAGUAGGGAAUCUUCCGCAAUGGGCGAAAACCUGACGGAGCAGCGCCGCGUGAGUGAUGAAGGUCUUCGGAUCGUAAAACUCUGUUAUUAGGGAAGAACAAAUGUGUAAGUAACUAUGCACGUCUUGACGGUACCUAAUCAGAAAGCCACGGCUAACUACGUG